rnacentral:rRNA from 1 species
GGCGGACGCUGGCGGCGUGCUUAACACAUGCAAGUCGAACGCGCCUGUCCUCUGGGUUUCUGGGGGGUGGGUGAGUGGCGAACGGGUGAGUAACACGUGAGUAACCUGCCCCCUUCUUCGGGAUAACGGUCUGAAAGGGCUGCUAAUACCGGGUAUUCACUGGUCUCCGCAUGGGGUCUGGUGGAAAGGUUUUUUUCUGGUGGGGGAUGGGCUCGCGGCCUAUCAGCUUGUUGGUGGGGUGAUGGCCCACCAAGGCUUUGACGGGUAGCCGGCCUGAGAGGGUGACCGGUCACAUUGGGACUGAGAUACGGCCCAGACUCCUACGGGAGGCAGCAGUGGGGAAUAUUGCACAAUGGGCGCAAGCCUGAUGCAGCGACGCCGCGUGAGGGAUGGAGGCCUUCGGGUUGUGAACCUCUUUCGCCCGUGGUCAAGCCGCGACGUGGGUCGUGGUGAGGGUAGUGGGUAAAGAAGCGCCGGCUAACUACGUG